UAUUGCACAAUGGGGGGAACCCUGAUGCAGCGACGCCGCGUGGGUGAAGGAGCGUUUCGGCGCGUAAAGCCCUAUCGGCAGGGAAGAAGGAGGACGGUACCUGACUAAGAAGCUCCGGCUAAAUACGUGCCAGCAGCCGCGGUAAUACGUAUGGAGCAAGCGUUAUCCGGAUUUACUGGGUGUAAAGGGAGCGUAGGCGGCCUGGCAAGUCUGGUGUGAAAUACCGGGGCCCAACCCCGGGACUGCAUUGGAAACUGCCAGGCUGGAGCGUCGGAGGGGCAGGCGGAAUUCCUAGUGUAGCGGUGAAAUGCGUAGAUAUUAGGAGGAACACCGGUGGCGAAGGCGGCCUGCUGGACGAAAACUGACGCUGAGGCUCGAAAGCGUGGGGAGCAAACAGG
rnacentral:rRNA from 1 species